rnacentral:piRNA from 2 species
UGCCUAUGGCUCUACUGACUGAAAAGGAA